AUCCAGCUGACGAGUCCCAAAUAGGACGAAACAAGAGUCCUGAAU
rfam:Schistosoma curassoni strain Dakar, Senegal genome assembly, scaffold: SCTD_scaffold0001168